UUUGAGGAUAAUGCUAGUAGCAGGUUAUACAGUAUUCAUAGAGAUAGACAUGCAGCCAUAUGAGGAUAAUGCUAGCAGCAGGUUAUACAGUAUUCAUAUAGAUAGACAUGCAGCCAUAUGAGGGUAAUGCUAGUAGCAGGUUAUACAGUAUUCACAGAGAUAGACAUGCAGCCAUUUGAGGAUAAUGCUAGUAGCAGGUUAUACAGUAUUCAUAUAGAUAGACAUGCAGCCAUAUGAGGAUAAUGCUAGUAGCAGGUUAUACAGUAUUCAUAUAGAUAGACAUGCAGCCAUAUGAGGAUAAUGCUAGCAGCAGGUUAUACAGUAUUCAUAUAGAUAGACAUGCAGCCAUUUGAGGAUAAUGCUAGUAGCAGGUUAUACAGUAUUCAUAUAGAUAGACAUGCAGCCAUAUGAGGAUAAUGCUAGCAGCAGGUUAUACAGUAUUCCUAUAGAUGGAGAUGCAGCCAUAUGAGGAUAAUGCUAGCAGCAGGUUAUACAGUAUUCCUAUAGAUGGAGAUGCAGCCAUUUGAGGCUAAUGUUGGUGUAAUAUUAAUGGUAGCAUUGAAUUAUUUGUACACAUUACAUACAGUAUUUUGUACUGAAUGCCUCUGUAUGUCUGAAAACCCUAUCUUCUCACUCUAGAUACAGGUUACAUAUGCCAUUACACCGCAUACUGACCCCAUUCAACACU
rnacentral:lncRNA from 1 species